UACAGAGGGUGCGAGCGUUAAUCGGAAUUACUGGGCGUAAAGCGUGCGUAGACGGUCUUGUAAGUCGGGUGUGAAAUCCCCGGGCUCAACCUGGGAAUUGCAUUCGAGACUGCAAGGCUUGGGUGCGGAAGAGGGAAGCGGAAUUUCCGGUGUAGCGGUGAAAUGCGUAGAUAUCGGGAGGAACACCUGUGGCGAAAGCGGCUCACUGGACCGCAACUGACGCUGAGGCGCGAAAGCUAGGGGAGCAAACAGG
rnacentral:rRNA from 1 species